rnacentral:rRNA from 1 species
UACGUAGGGUGCAAGCGUUAAUCGGAAUUACUGGGCGUAAAGCGUGCGCAGGCGGUUUUGUAAGACUGUCGUGAAAUCCCCGGGCUUAACCUGGGAAUGGCGAUGGUGACUGCAAGGCUAGAGUUUGGCAGAGGGGGGUAGAAUUCCACGUGUAGCAGUGAAAUGCGUAGUUAUGUGGAGGAACACCGAUGGCGAAGGCAGCCCCCUGGGUCAAAACUGACGCUCAUGCACGAAAGCGUGGGGAGCAAACAGG